rnacentral:rRNA from 1 species
CCUACGGGAGGCAGCAGUGAGGAAUAUUGGUCAAUGGGCGAGAGCCUGAACCAGCCAAGUCGCGUGAGGGAGUACUGCCCUAUGGGUUGUAAACCUCUUUUGUCGGGGAGCAAAAGCCGGACGUGUCCGGCUGUGAGAGUACCCGAAGAAAAAGCAUCGGCUAACUCCGUGCCAGCAGCCGCGGUAAUACGGAGGAUGCGGGCGUUAUCCGGAUUUAUUGGGUUUAAGGGGUGUGCAGGCGGAUUUUUAAGUCAGCGGUAAAAUCGUGGGGCUCAACCCCAUCCAGCCGUUGAAACUGGGGAUCUAGAGUGUGCGAGAGGUAUGCGGAAUGCGUGGUGUAGCGGUGAAAUGCAUAGAUAUCACGCAGAACCCCGAUUGCGAAGGCAGCAUACCGGUGCACAACUGACGCUCAGGCACGAAAGCGUGGGUAUCGAACAGGAUUAGAUACCCCUGUAGUC